UUAAAGGUGGCUUUCGGGCUGUCGCAGAUGGAUGAGCCUGCGUUGGAUUAGCUAGUUGGUGGGGUAAGGGCCCACCAAGGCUACGAUCCAUAGCUGAUUUGAGAGGAUGAUCAGCCACAUUGGGACUGAGACACGGCCCAAACUCCUACGGGAGGCAGCAGUGGGGAAUAUUGGACAAUGGGGGCAACCCUGAUCCAGCAAUGCCAUGUGUGUGAAGAAGGCCCUAGGGUUGUAAAGCACUUUAGUUGGGGAGGAAAGCCUCAAGGUUAAUAGCCUUGGGGGAGGACGUUACCCAAAGAAUAAGCACCGGCUAACUCCGUGCCAGCAGCCGCGGUAAUACGGGGGGUGCAAGCGUUAAUCGGAAUUACUGGGCGUAAAGGGUCUGUAGGUGGUUUGUUAAGUCAGAUGUGAAAGCCCAGGGCUCAACCUUGGAACUGCAUUUGAUACUGGCAAACUAGAGUACGGUAGAGGAAUGGGGAAUUUCUGGUGUAGCGGUGAAAUGCGUAGAGAUCAGAAGGAACACCAAUGGCGAAGGCAACAUUCUGGACCGAUACUGACACUGAGGGACGAAAGCGUGGGGAUCAAACAGGAUUAGAUACCCUGGUAGUCCACGCUGUAAACGAUGAGUACUAGCUGUUGGAGUCGGUGUAAAGGCUCUAGUGGCGCAGCUAACGCGAUAAGUACUCCGCCUGGGGACUACGGCCGCAAGGCUAAAACUCAAAGGAAUUGACGGGGACCCGCACAAGCGGUGGAGCAUGUGGUUUAAUUCGAUGCAACGCGAAGAACCUUACCUGGUCUUGACAUCCUGCGAACUUUCUAGAGAUAGAUUGGUGCCUUCGGGAACGCAGUGACAGGUGCUGCACGGCUGUCGUCAGCUCGUGUUGUGAAAUGUUGGGUUAAGUCCCGCAACGAGCGCAACCCCUAUUGAUAGUUACCAUCAUUAAGUUGGGUACUCUAUUAAGACUGCCGCUGACAAGGCGGAGGAAGGUGGGGACGACGUCAAGUCAUCAUGGCCCUUACGACCAGGGCUACACACGUGCUACAAUGGGUA
rnacentral:rRNA from 1 species